CCUACGGGUGGCAGCAGUAGGGAAUUUUCGUCAAUGGGCGCAAGCCUGAACGAGCGAUGCCGCGUGAGUGAAGAAGGCCUUCGGGUCGUAAAGCUCUGUUGCUGGGGAAAUAAGGCAGCAUCCGUAAAUGUUUUCUGACUGAUGGUGCCCCGCCAGAAAGUCACGGCUAACGACGUGCCAGCAGCCGCGGUAAUACGUAGGUGGCGAGCGUUAUCCUGUAUGAUUUGGCGUAAAGGGUGCGCAGGUGGUCCGGCAAGUCUGGAGUGAAACGGCUGAGCGCAACACAUGCAUGGCUUUGGAAACUGGAGGACUGGAGAGCAGGAGAGGGCGGUGGAACUCCAUGUGUAGCGGUAAAAUGCGUAGAUAUAUGGAAGAACACCAGUGGCGAAGGCGGCCGCCUGGCCUGUUGCUGACGCUGAGGCACGAAAGCGUGGGGAGCAAAUAGGAUUAGAUACCCGAGUAGUC
rnacentral:rRNA from 1 species